rnacentral:rRNA from 1 species
UUGUUUAAUUUAAGUCAAACUUCCAAGAAAAGCUCUUAUUACUGUUAAAUUAAAAUAACCUGUACCCUAAACUGACACAAGUAGGUCGGUAGAGAAUACUAAGGGGCGCGAGAUAACUCUCUCUAAGGAACUCGGCAAAAUGGCCCCGUAACUUCGGGAGAAGGGGUGGUGUUAUUUUCUAAAUAACUCCCGCAGCGACCAGGCCCAGGCGACUGUUUAUCAAAGACACAGGUCUCCGCAAAGUCGUAAGACAAUGUAUGGGGGCUGACGUCUGCCCAGUGCCGGAAGGUAAAAGAAGUCGGUUAUUCUUUAGAAAAAGCUGACGACUGAAGCCCCGGUGAACGGCGGCUGUAACACUGACAGUCCUAAGGUAGCGAAAUUCCUUGUCGAGUAAGUUUCGACCCGCACGAAAGACGUAACGAUCUGGGCACUGUCUCGGAGAGAGACUCGGUGAAAUAGAAGUGUCUGUGAAGAUGCGGACUACUUAUACCAGGACAGAAAGACCCUAUGAAGCUUGACUGUAAUUUGGAAUUGAGUUCGGGCUUUUUUUGCGCAGUCUAGGUGGGAGGCAUUGAUGUAAAAUUUUUGGAUUUUAUGGAGCCAAAAUUGAGAGACCACCCUAAAAAGGCUAGAAUUCUAAUAGGACUCCUUGAAUCAGGAUCCUUGACAGUUUCAGAUGGACAGUUUGACUGGGGCGGUGAUCUCCUAAAAGGUAACGGAGAUGUGCAAAGGUUCUCUCAGGCUGGACGGAAAUCAGCUAUAGAGUGUAAAGGUAGAAGAGAGCUUGACUGCAAGACCAACAAGUCGAGCAGGGGCGAAAGCCGGCCUUAGUGAUCCGACGGUUCCGAGUGGAAGGGCCGUCGCUCAACGGAUAAAAGUUACUCUAAGGAUAACAGGCUGAUCUCCCCCAAGAGUUCACAUCGACGGGGAGGUUUGGCACCUCGAUGUCGGCUCAUCGCAACCUGGGGCUGGAGUCGGUCCCAAGGGUUGGGCUGUUCGCCCAUGAAAGCGGUACGUGAGCUGGGUUCAGAACGUCGUGAGACAGUUCGGUCCAUAUCCGGUAUAAGCGUAAGAGCAUUGAGAGGAUCUCAACAUUGUACGAGAGGACCCGAAGGGACGUACCUAUGGUGUACCAGUUCUUAUGCCAAUAGGAAACGCUGGGUAGCUAUGUACGGAGUGGAUAAUCGCUGAAAGCAUUUAAGUGAGAAGCCCACCUCAAGAUGAGUGCUCUCUAUUAGAUCACGGCAAGACAAGCCGGUACAUUGGUAUCAAGUGUAAGAUUAGUAAUAAUUUGAGCUGAGAUAUACAAACGUU